AAAAACUCAUUUGAUAAGGCCUCCUCGCCGGCGGCGAGCUCGACCACUCCGGCUCCGGCGACUGAGCCUCCACUCCCCGUCUCUCUCCAGCACACAUAGUCUCCGUGUCCUUCCCCUUCCCUCCCCACCAGCAGACGGCAAAGGCGCGCUUGACGGCGCUGAACUCGCACCGUUGGUCAGUCGCCAGAUUUCUUCCGCCGAUGUUGUAUUCAUUGGUGCCACAGGAGCAUUAGUGCAUGAUCCUCUUCCCCUGCCUCCCUCUUUGAGAGAUCAUGGGGGUACAACCGCACGCCUGUAUCCUCAGGCUGUGCUUGGAGCAGGAGAACAGCUUGAAGCCCGAGUCCCCCACGACGAGAUCAGCCUGAGAAGGUUGCCCUGCUGGUUCGGAAGGUUGCCCUGCUGGUUCAGAAGGUUGCCCUGCUGGGCAUUACAAAGGAGGCCCGCACCAUGGUUCAGAACCUGAGGAAAGGGUAUCACCACUACUACGAGGCUUACCUGAACAGAGAGAUCCGGUUCUUCGCCUGGGAUGUUUUGACAGAGAAACUGGAUGGGUUUGUCGCUCUUGAUGAUGAGGUUGCGAGCUAUAUAUGGUGCUCACGAUGAUUUUAGGCCACAUUUUGUUGCUCAGCUUGAAGCAGAUGCAGAGCACUGUCGCUGAGGCAACAACCUUGUAGAGUCCGAGGAGGCAUCAGGGAUUGAAAACACUGAAAAGAAUCAGCAGGAGGAAGGAAAGGUGCAUCAUACGCUCCCACCGGGACCGGGGGACGACGAAAACAGAGAAAUUGGAUGAUGCCAUGAAGUAGGAUCCUGGAUCAGGGAAGAUGGACAGUGACUUCAUUCCUUUUUUUUAAUUGAGAAAUCCUUCAUUCCUUAUUUCCAUAUAUGAUAU